rnacentral:rRNA from 1 species
GUACACUCCUACGGGAGGCAGCAGUGGGGAAUUUUGAACAAUGGGCGAAAGCCUGAUCCAGCCAUGCCGCGUGCAGGAUGAAGGCCUUCGGGUUGUAAACUGCUUUUGUACGGAACGAAACGGCCUUUUCUAAUAAAGAGGGCUAAUGACGGUACCGUAAGAAUAAGCACCGGCUAACUACGUGCCAGCAGCCGCGGUAAUACGUAGGGUGCAAGCGUUAAUCGGAAUUACUGGGCGUAAAGCGUGCGCAGGCGGUUAUGUAAGACAGUUGUGAAAUCCCCGGGCUCAACCUGGGAACUGCAUCUGUGACUGCAUAGCUAGAGUACGGUAGAGGGGGAUGGAAUUCCGCGUGUAGCAGUGAAAUGCGUAGAUAUGCGGAGGAACACCGAUGGCGAAGGCAAUCCCCUGGACCUGUACUGACGCUCAUGCACGAAAGCGUGGGGAGCAAACAGGAUUAGAUACCCGAGUAGUCCCA